rnacentral:tRNA from 1 species
GGGGAUAUGGUUCAUAUGGUAGAGUGCUUGUCUUGCACUCAAAAGGCCCUGGGUUCGAUCCCUAGCACCCACU